rnacentral:rRNA from 1 species
UACGGAGGGAGCUAGCGUUGUUCGGAAUUACUGGGCGUAAAGCGCGCGUAGGCGGCUUUGUAAGUUAGAGGUGAAAGCCCGGGGCUCAACCCCGGAACUGCCUUUAAGACUGCAUCGCUUGAAUCCGGGAGAGGUGAGUGGAAUUCCGAGUGCAGAGGUGAAAUUCGUAGAUAUUCGGAAGAACACCAGUGCGAAGGCGGCUCACUGGACCGGUAUUGACGCUGAUGUGCGAAAGCGUGGGGAGCAAACAGG